UCUCAAUUUUGGAUCGAUUUUAUCGUUUUCUAUUCUAUUAAUCUGACCUUUUUUGGUUUUUUGGUUGAUAUUUUAAAGAUUAGAUUUGGAUCUUUAGUUUUCUGGUAACUUCUGAUCACUGAAUCUUCUGUUGAUCUUAGAUCAAACGAUUUAUUAGGUUUUUUUGGGUUGAUUCUAACCUCUGACGGGUUAUUGGCUCUUUAAUUUUUAUCGAUCUCCUUAUUUUGUUUUAUGAUGUCCGAUUUAGAUCUCGAUCAUGAUUAUUCUCUUUUAUAUUGAUUUUACCGUUGUCUAUGUCUCUGGCCUAUCAGGUUUUGCCUAUGAUUUGCCAGCGCUGACCUUAUCUUCUUCUUGUUUUGAUUCAUCUCGUGUUAUUUGGAUCUUUAAUAUAUGUAAGGUACUGAUUAUUAUGGAGUUAGGACUCUAGUUUUGCUUACGCUGACCUUAUAUUCUUUUUACUUAUUUUGAUUUGUCUUGUGCAGUUUGGAUCUGGAUGCCGAAUGUAUGUUGGAUAUCUAUGUUAGAUUGUUGUUCAUCGAAUUAACCGAUCCUUUUCGUUAAUAUUUUACCAUAAAUUGGCUUAGUAUUUUACCAUAAAUUGGUUAACUUGAUCGUUGAUUAUUGGAUAAACAUGUGUUCUAAUGCUAACUUCACAAUCUUUCUACUUAUUUUGUUUGUUCUUGUGCAAUUUGGAUCUCUAUUUUAGAUCAAUUUCAUCUUUUUUUCUUUUUUUCUUUUUUUUGGGGUGCCUGGCGUGUUAAAUAUAAAUGUGCUAACAUUCUUAUAACCAUUCUAUUUGUCGUGGCCCUAAUUCAUAACUGUUAUAAUUAUUUGGUAUGCUAUCGUUGAACUUAUAACCGUCUAAUUGUUUUGAUUGUACUAUAGGGUUCUGACUGUGCUGGAGUUAGAUCUGUCUUUAGAUCAGUUUUAUCAUUCUGUGCUCUGCUGAUCUGACUUCUUUUGGUUGUACCUUAAUUGGAUCCCAAACACACAAUUCUUGGGGUAUCUGGUAUGUUAACGCUGACCUUAUGUGAUUUGGUCGUUCUUGGACAUGCUUAGGGCAUUGCUCGCUGUUGAUAUUUUCAGAUGGUUAAUGGGAUUAGUCCUGGUAGUAGUGCUGCCGUUGAUUCUGAUAGGUGUUCUAUGAUUUUGAUAUACCAGAUUGAAGAUCAUUUCCUGAGCAGUCUUGAGAUAUGUACUGUAAGAUUUUUGGUGUCCAACUUAGGCACUGUAUGAUUUUUUCUGUCCAAUUCUUCUUUUAUGAAUUUUGAUCUGGUAGAUGGCAAGGAAUAGGUUUCUUUUCAAUUUGGAAGCUUCGGUUCGAAGAGUGGCCGUGGACAGUAUCUGGUACAUACCUUUGGUUAGCUUAACUGUAAGUUGGUCAGUUCAGUUCAGUUCAGUUCUGUGAUUGAUAACGGUAUUUUAAGCUAAUUCUCUAGUCCUUUGAUUAGUCUGCCUGAAGCAAUGCACAAGUUUAUGUACAGAGUCGUUUCAAUUUUCUUCUUCCUUAUUCUCAGAAGAUUAGUUUAUGUCUUGAGGACUUGAUAUUUUUUUAGAGAGCAACCUUGGCUUAGGCAGUGUAAGUUCUGGUUUUGAUCAGCCAGACGAAGAAGAAUAUCUUUAUCAUCAUUUUGGACUUCUGUUUUCAAUAAUAGGAAGUUCGGAUGUUAAGUGGCACUGCUAGCUUUUUGUUUCCAUAUGCUUUACGCUUUCACAUCGCAAGUUAAAUGAUAGAAAGUUUGGGGCAUUAGUUGACUGACACUGCAUGUUUUUUUGUUUGUCUAUGCUUUACGCGUUUACAUCGCAAGUUUGUUUCUCUUUACCUCAAUACUUCUAAUCUGUUAGAUGGUGAAGAACAACUUUUUUUCAUUAGUGAGGUUCUCAUUUCAGAAAUCGUGAAGAAUAUCUUUUAUGGGGCAAGCUUGGGCUAGAUGCUCUGUUUUCUGUUGCCCAAUAAUUUUUUUUAUCGUCGUCUUUGAUUUUGACGAAUAAUAUUUGCAAGUUAUGGUCAGGGCUCAAAUCUUUUAAGGAACAACCUUCCAUAUGGCGAUGUAAGUUCUCUGUUGCCGAGUUAACCUAGCAUGGUUUUGAUUCAGCAGAUUAUCUCGUUAAUUUUUAGGAAUUGGUUUCAAAAUGCUCUGAGGACUUCAUCGUUAACAAAGCAAACUUAGGUUAUGCACUACCAGUUCUUUUCUGUUUGGACUACUUCGUCUAUGGUUUUGAGCUGCCAGAUUGUAGAAUAGUUUGCAUCAGGUAGGAGUUCUGGAGUUCUGGUUUAAUCAACAAGAUCGUAACAAUAAAUUGUUCGUCUUUUAUCAUUAUUUGUUUUAUUUCCUGCCUCACUAGGUUUCUUGUUCAUUUAUCGUGAUUCUUUUUGGGAUCUAUGACAUUAUAUCUUAUUAGAUGGAUGAAGGGUGGCAUAAUGCACUGAUUUUGGCUUAUGUUCUAUAUUCCAUUGGUUUGUUCUAUUGGUUCGUUGUAUGGCUCUGAUUUGGCAGACUGUGGAGUAGAGAGCAAUCCAGAUGGUCUUGAGGACUGGAGAUUAUUUAUGGAGCAAUCUGGAGUUGGGCACUGUAAGGGUUUUGUUUUGCAUUUCUGCUUUUAUCGCUUUAAACUUAUCAGGUGAAAGAAUAGCUUGAUUUUCAGUUUGGAAGUUUCCGUUUCAAGAAGGUUGAGGACCAUAGAAACUUUGGUUUUCUUAACUGUAAGUUGUUCUAUUGGGAAAUAGUUUUCAUACUGGGAUCUGUUUAGUUCAGUUCUCUGAUUUGGUUGACACUAAAUUAUGGUGAGUCCAUAUUAUUUGAAGCACAUACUAGAUGCCAGUUCCUUUAGUGGUCUUUGCAGUAUUUUAAAGCUAGCUUCUGCAGAUCAUAGUUUCUUUAUUGGUCUUUGCAGUAUUUUAAAGCUGGUUUCUGCAGAUUCCCUUGAUUUUUUUGUCUUCGCGGAUUUUCAAAGCUAGCUUCUGCAUAUUCCUUUAAUUUGUUUGUGUGAAUUAAUCCACCUUGAUUUCGCGUACAGACAGUUGUUUCCAAAAUUUUCCUUAAUUCGCAAAAACUAGUUUAUAUUUUGAGGACAUGAUGUUUUUUAGAGAGAAGACUUUGCUUUGGCACUGUUUGUCUUUUGUUGCACAAUACUUCUACGGUUUUGAUCGGCCAGUUGAUGACGAACAAUGAUAUUGUCAUUUUGGGGUUUUGCUUUCAAUAAUAGAAAGUUUGCGCUGUAAGUCUUUCGUUUCUCUAAAUUUCUUUUGUGUUUCUAAAAUGUAUGUUUUUGUUUCUCUGUAGUUCUAUGCUUUCGAGCCGUCAGAUUCAUUGUGAUUCAUGAGUUCAUCUUCUUUGAAGAAUAAUAUUUGCAAGUUACGGUCAGGGCUCAAAUAUUUUAAGGAACAACCUUCCAUAAGACGAUGUUAGUUCUCUGUUGCCCAGUAAUCCUGGCAUGGUUUUGAUUCAGCAGAUUAUCUCGUUAAUUUUUAGGAGUGGGUUUCAUAAUGCUCUGAGGACUUCAUCAUUAACAAAGCAAACUUAGGUUAUGCACUACCAGUUCUUUUUUGUUUGGACUACUUCGUCUAUGGUUUUGAGCUGCCAGAUUGUAGAGUAGUAUGGAUCAGUGUCUUAUUAAAUGGAUGAAGGGUGGCGCUAUAUGAUAAUGCACUGAUUUUGGCUUAUGUUCUAUAUGCUUCUGUGCUUUUAAUCUGGCAGAUUCAUCGUGAUUAUCAUUUGCGAGUUCCAGUUCCAAAAGUCAUGAAGAAUAUCUUUUACUCAAUCCUGUGUUAGGUACUGUAAGUUCUCUGUUGCCCAGUAAAUUUUCUCAGUCUCCUGUGGUUUUGAUUAUCCACAUCAGCCAGAUGGUGAAGAAUAGCUUGGUCAUCUUGAGGGAUUUCACACUUCUUAAGGAACAAUUCAUUAGGUACUGUAAGUUCUCUGUUGUCCGAUAAUCCUUGGUUUUGAUCCGGCAGAUGGUGACGAAUAGCUAAAUUAUUAUUUCUGAGCCUUGAUAUCAAAAAGCCCUGAGACAUAUUAACAUGUAUAGAAUUAUUUAUUAUCAUUUAUAGAAUUAUCUUGGAUUUUUGUGCGGUCAGUUGUUUUUGGUUCAUUAUACUUCUUCUGUGGUUUCGACCUGCUAGAUGAUGAAGAACAGCUUGGUUGUUUGGAAGUUUCGGUUUCCUGUGGACUUGUGGAACCUUGGGCUAGGCACUAGGAUUUUGUGUUUCCGUCCUCUUCUAUAGUUUUGAUCUGCCAGAUUGUGAAGAAUAGCUUGGAUUGUCAGUUGGGAUUUCACAGAGGAACCUUUCAUUAGGCGCCAGAAGCUUUUUGUUGCCCGGUAAUUCUAUGGCUUUGAUAAGAAUAGCUUGGUUGUUGGUUGGGAGUGUCUACCAAAGGCAGCCUUGUGUUAGGCACUGUAAACCCUUUGGUGCCCAGUAGUUCUUCUAUAUAUUUUGAUUGGCCAGAUGACAAAGAUUAUCUUGAUUGUCAUUUUGGAGCUUUGGUUUGACAAAGUAAUGGGGCUCUUAUAUGGAGCAACGUAGCGGUAGGCAUUGUGAGCUUCUUGUUGCCAAAAAAUUCAUUUAUGGUUUUGAUUUGCCAGUUGCCCAGAACUGAUUAUCAUUUGGGUGCUUCAGUUCAGAUCCCAUGGACUUGACAUGUAAUUCUUACGGAGCAACCUUGGUUUUGGCACUGUAAGCUUCUUAUUUUCUGGAUACGUAUUGUACCAUAAUCUGUUGCAUUCAGUUCUGCAAUAUAGUCUGCAAUAUUGUCAGCACACGCUGCUAUCCUUUUGUUAUGCACCAUAAGAAUCACCCUCCUGCCCUUCCCCCCCUUCGUGUGGAAUUCUAUCGCUGCAUUUUGUUGCCACCAAUUCCUAUGGCUUUAAUCAAUCAAAUGGUGGCUGCAUUUUGUUGCCACCAAUUUCAUUGGCUUUAAUCAAUCAAAUGGUGGAAGAGUAGAUUGAUUGUUAUUUCAGAGUUCUAGCUUCAAAACAUCACUGAAAUCUUGUGUUUGGCACUUUAAGCAGCAGUAAGAUAUUGAAGAAGAGCUUUAUAGGAGUUCUGGUUUGGAAAAAACCCUGGGGACAAGGACUCUUUUACAGAGUGGUGUCUGCGUUAGGCGUUGUAAGUUUCUUGUUGCCCAAUGAUUCUUUUCAUAGUUCUGAUCUGCCAGUUUGAGAAUGGACUAUAAUUUGGGAGUUCCUUUUUCAAAGUCCAGGGAUUUAACUGCCCUACAGAGCGACCUUGCGCUAGGAACUGUAAGGCUAUUUAUUACCCAAUAGUUAUCAUGGCUUAAUUUGUUUAGUUCGGUACUGUGAUAUUUGUUGGCACACACACUCACAGAAGUAAAGGACAUCAAGAACAUCGUAAAAAGUUUGCUCAUUAUUUGAGACUGUUAGUCUUUGUUUUUGCAUAAUUUCUGUGGUUUUGAUCUGCCAGAUGGUGAGGAGUGGCUUGUUCAUUGUUCGGAGGCUUUGGUUUUAGAUGGUCCCAAGCUCAUAUCUUUUAGGCAGCUCAUAUCUUUUAGGCACUGUAAGUUUUUGUUGCCUGAUAAUUUUUCUGUAGCUUUGAUCUGUGACUUGGUAAUGUAGUUUUAUCAUUAUCGGAACUUUCGGUCACGACUCGAUCUCUUACGGGGCAACCUUGGGCUUAACUUUGUAAGUUUUCUUUUGCUCAAUAAUAUCCUAUGUAUCGGUUUAGCUCAGUUCUGUGAUCCGUAGUUUUGCGAUCUUGGACAGUAAGUGUUUUGUUGCUCAACAAUAUCCUAUGUAUUUGUGUAGUUCAGCUCUGUGAGCUGUAGUUAUGAGAUCUUGGACAGUAGAUGAAGUAUCAUAGGAAGCUUGCACAUUAUUCGGCAAUGUAAAUUGUCCACAAUACUUGACGAUGUAAGUCUGUGUUUGCUGUACCUCCUUUUUAUCUGGCAGAUGGUGCAGACCACCUUGUUAGACAUUAGCGGUUUCAGUUUCAUGAAGUCUUGAGCUCUUGAUAAAUUUAAUGUCAGCCAGGGCCAGGGGACAUACGCUGCAGGGGCCAUGCGCUGUAAGUCUCUUGUUACAGAACCAUUAUUUAUGGUUUGGUAUGACAGAUGGUGAAGAACAACCUUCUUGCGUUCUCUGUUUCAAAAAAUUCUGAGGACGAUAUGGAGUGACCUUGGGUUCGGCAUUGUAAGCGUCUUGUCUGUAAGCUUUUGUUUCCUUAUACCUCUUCGAUGGUUCUGCUAGAUAGUGAAGAAUAGCUUGAUUAUAAUCUAUGAGCUUUGGUUGCAAAAGGUUCUACACUUCUUAUGGAGCAGCCUUUUGUUAGGCACUGUAAUCUUCUUGUACCUACCUCUUUGAUUGUUUUGCUCUACCAGGAUGUGAAGAAUAGCUUGAUUAUCAUGAUGGAGCUUUGGCUUCAAAAAGUUCUGAUGUUUAGAGAUCUUUCAUUGAGCAAUAAUUCUUUGAUAUGGUUUUGAUUGCCCAAUAAAUCUUCUAGUGUUUUGAUUCACCAGAUGGUGAAGACUUGGUAGCUUGUCAUUUGGGAGUUCUGGUGUCAAAAUGUUUAGAGGGCUCGAUAUCUCUUGUGGAGCGCAAUGUGUGAGGCACUGUCAAGUUUCUUGUUGCCUAAUAAUUCUAUGGGGCUGAUCUGCCUGGAGUUAAUUAUCUUUUGAGAGUUUUGGUCUGAGAGUCCAAAUAUUCUUGAGGACUUGACAUGUUUUAUUGAACAACCUUGGGGGAAGCAUUGUAAGCUUCUUGUUUUCUUGUACCUCUUCUAUGGUUUUGAUCUGCCUAAGUUCGGUGGACUUGAGAUAUUUCGCGGAUGAUCUUCUGUGAUUUGAUCUGCUGUGAUUUGAUCUGCAUAAGAAUAUCUUACGGCUUAUAAUUCUUGUAUGUUUCUAAUCUGUCAGAUGGUGAAGAUUAAUUGUCAUUUGGGAGUUUUUAGUUUCAAAGAGAGCUGAGGACUUGGUAAAUCUUUUACGGAACGACUGUGGUUUAGGGGGUGUUUGUUUGCAUGCAAGUGAAAGAUGAAAGUGAGGAAGUUACUUUCAUUUAACAAUUAAAGUGUUUGUUUUCAUGUAAGUGGU